AACAACAAAACCUUUUCCCACUAAGUGGGGUCGGCUUUUAUAUGAAUCCUAGAACGCCAUUGCGCUCGGUUUUGUGUCAUGUCAUCCGUUAGAUCCAAGUACUCAAGUCUUUUCUUAGGGUCUCUUCCAAAGUUUUCCUAGGUCUUCCUCUACCCCUUCGGCCCUGAACCUCUGUCCCGUAGUCACAUUUUCGAACCGGAGCGUCAGUAGGCCUUCUUUGCACAUGUCCAAACCACCGGAACCGAUUUUCUCU
rnacentral:lncRNA from 1 species